rnacentral:rRNA from 1 species
AUACGGAGGGUGCAAGCGUUGCUCGGAAUCACUGGGCGUAAAGCGAGCGCAGGCGGCUAAAUAAGUCGGGUGUGAAAGCCCGGGGCUCAACCCCGGAACUGCAUCCGAAACUGUUUAGCUAGAGUACAGAAGAGGAAGGGGGAAUUCCAGGUGUAGAGGUGAAAUUCGUAGAUAUCUGGAGGAACACUCGUGGCGAAGGCGCCUUUCUGGUCUGUUACUGACGCUCAUGCUCGAAAGCGUGGGGAGCAAACAGGAUUAGAUACCCUGGUAGUCCACGCCGUAAACGAUGAGUGCUAGUUGUUGGAGGUCUAUACCCCUUCAGUGACGCAGCUAACGCAUUAAGCACUCCGCCUGGGGAGUACGGUCGCAAGACUAAA